UUCCCCCCAAAAAAAAAAAGGGGGGUCGGGUCGAGCAAAGUCGGAAUGCGGACAUACGAGCGAAAGAGAAGUCUACAUGAAUCAUUUCUCAUCUUCAUCGAUACAAGAAAUUUCGUAGAGAUAUUCCAGUCGAUCACGGACAACCGUGGUUCAGAGUCGCCACUGUUUCGUUGCUCCGUACUGUGAUCCCUCAUGGAGCCGAGGC